AAAAUAAGACAUGCCAUACUUGACACAGGAACACAUGCUUUUCCAUUAGCAUUCAUUAUUUGUGGUCACAGUCAGACAGAUAAAGAUUGACACUGAUAACUACCCGAGGAGAGUAGCUGUGCACCAGCCUGCACUUCACUUGCUGCUUUGAUAACACUGAGAUGUGAGUGGAAGAGCCACACAAGGGGAAAAAGCCAGAUGAAUUGAAGGAUGGAACGUGCUUUUCUGGACACACAAAACUUCCCUGAAAUAUCUGAGAGAUACAAUACAUGGCCAUUUCCUGUGUGGAAAACUGCGUGCAACUGUGUGUUUGAGUGAGAGAUUGUAUUUGGAGGUGAUGCUACCCACUGCAUGGCUGAUAAGCAGAAGAAUGUGUCCCUCUGCUGGAAAUUAAAUAGAUGAGCCUACUGAGAGGUGACCAAUGGGCUGUGCACACUUGUGAUCAGCAAGAAGCUUUGAGGAUGUGGGGCCAGGAGGAAGAAAGCUGAUGCUCUGGGAAAUCAGUGCCUCACCACUAGCACCGUGUGGUCUUACUGAUGCUGCAGAAGGUGGAAGUUGUGCACUGGGAGGAGCAGUAAUUACUGUAAUGAAUAAAUACUGAUCCCUGGAGAUAUGUAUACCCAAUUUUUCCUCUGAAGACUAGAGCCCUGUAUCAUUUUUGAAAAGCAGAAAUCCCUAAUCACUCCAGUGCAAAGACCUACACAGUGUUGGCGUGAGGGUCUAUCCCCCCUUUUGAGAGCUCUUAAAACAUGCUCCACCCUGUUCCUAUCACCUCCUGUCAUUCAACCUUGUUGGGAACUCUCUGGAAACUCUGUUGCAUCAAAACAGGACCAACUAAUUUUGUCUUCCACUUCCAUUGCUGCUGCUUUCUGAUUCACAAGCUGUGCCCAUUAAAAACGUGUAAUUCAACAGGAAUAUUUUU